rnacentral:rRNA from 1 species
UACGUAGGGCGCGAGCGUUGUCCGGAUUUAUUGGGCGUAAAGAGCUCGUAGGCGGCUUGUCGCGUCGACUGUGAAAACCCGCGGCUCAACCGUGUGGCUUGCAGUUGAUACGGGCAGGCUAGAGUUCGGUAGGGGAGACUGGAAUUCCUGGUGUAGCGGUGAAAUGCGCAGAUAUCAGGAGGAACACCGAUGGCGAAGGCGGGUCUCUGGGCCGAUACUGACGCUGAGGAGCGAAAGCGUGGGGAGCGAACAGG